AUUGAACGCUGGCGGCAUGCCUUACACAUGCAAGUCGAACGGUAACAGGCCGCAAGGUGCUGACGAGUGGCGAACGGGUGAGUAAUGCAUCGGAACGUGCCCAGUCGUGGGGGAUAACUGCUCGAAAGAGCAGCUAAUACCGCAUACGACCUGAGGGAGAAAGCGGGGGACCGUAAGGCCUCGCGCGAUUGGAGCGGCCGAAGUAAGAUUAGCUAGUUGGUGGGGUAAAAGCCUACCAAGGCAACGAUUUGUAGUUGGUCUAAGAGGACGACCAGCCACAAUGGGACUGAGACACGGCCAAGACUCCUACGGGAGGCAGCAGUGGGGAAUUUUGGACAAUGGGCGCAAGCCUGAUCCAGCAAUGCCGCGUGCAGGAGGAAGGCCUUCGGGUUGUAAACUGCUUUUGUCAGGGAAGAAAUCUUCUGGGCUAAUACCCCGGGAGGAUGACGGUACCUGAAGAAUAAGCACCGGCUAACUACGUGCCAGCAGCCGCUGUAAGAC
rnacentral:rRNA from 1 species